AGAAGGAUAGCUGGGUCAAAUGGUGGUUCUAUUCCCGGUUUUCCAAGGAAUCUCCAUACUGCCUUCCAGAUUGGUUGUACCAAUUUGCAGUCCCACCAGCAAU
rnacentral:pre_miRNA from 1 species